GUGGGGAAUCUUGCGCAAUGGGCGAAAGCCUGACGCAGCCAUGUCGCGUGAAUGAUGACGGUCUUAGGAUUGUAAAAUUCUUUCACCGGGGACGAUAAUGACGGUACCCGGAGAAGAAGCUCCGGCUAACUUCGUGCCAGCAGCCGCGGUAAUACGAAGGGGGCUAGCGUUGCUCGGAAUUACUGGGCGUAAAGGGCGCGUAGGCGGACAGCUUAGUCAGAGGUGAAAGCCCAGGGCUCAACCUUGGAAUUGCCUUUGAUACUGGCUGUCUUGAGUUUGGGAGAGGUGAGUGGAACUCCGAGUGUAGAGGUGAAAUUCGUAGAUAUUCGGAAGAACACCAGUGGCGAAGGCGACUCACUGGCCCAAUACUGACGCUGAGGCGCGAAAGCGUGGGGAGCAAACAGGAUUAGAUACCCUUGUAGUCC
rnacentral:rRNA from 1 species